GACGAACGCUGGCGGCGUGCUUAACACAUGCAAGUCGAACGCUGAAGCUCAGCUUUUGUUGGGUGGAUGAGUGGCGAACGGGUGAGUAACACGUGAGUAACCUGCCCCCUUCUUUGGGAUAACGCCCGGAAACGGGUGCUAAUACUGGAUAUUCACUGGUCUUCGCAUGGGGGUUGGUGGAAAGGGUUUUUCUGGUGGGGGAUGGGCUCGCGGCCUAUCAGCUUGUUGGUGGGGUGAUGGCCUACCAAGGCUUUGACGGGUAGCCGGCCUGAGGGGGUGACCGGUCACAUUGGGACUGGGAUACGGCCCAGACUCCUACGGGAGGCAGCAGUGGGGAAUAUUGCACAAUGGGCGCAAGCCUGAUGCAGCGACGCCGCGUGAGGGAUGGAGGCCUUCGGGUUGUGAACCUCUUUCGCUCAUGGUCAAGCCGCAACAAUGGUUGUGGUGAGGGUAGUGGGUAAAGAAGCGCCGGCUAACUACGUG
rnacentral:rRNA from 1 species